AACGAACGCUGGCGGCAUGCUUUAUACAUGCAAGUCGAACGAAAAAUAAAAAGUUUACUUUUUGUUUUUAGUGGCAAACGGGUGAGUAACGCGUAAGAAUUUACCUAUCAGUACGGAAUAACUGCCGGAAACAGUAGCUAAUACCGUAUAUUCUCUAAGGAGGAAAGAUUUAUCGCUGAUAGAUAAGCUUGCGUCAGAUUAGGUAGUUGGUAGGGUAAUGGCCUACCAAGCUUAUGAUCUGUAGCUGGUCUGAGAGGAUGAUCAGCCACACUGGGACUGAGACACGGCCCAGACUCCUACGGGAGGCAGCAGUAGGGAAUAUUGGACAAUGGGCGAAAGCCUGAUCCAGCAAUGCCGCGUGAAUGAUGAAGGUCUUAGGAUUGUAAAGUUCUUUUAGCAGGGAAGAUAAUGACUGUACCUGCAGAAAAAGCUCCGGCUAACUCCG
rnacentral:rRNA from 1 species